ensembl:lncRNA
UGGCAGUAUCUUUUGUAAAAAGGAAGUUUAUGACAAUGAGAAUUUUUCAAAUACCAUUCAAAUAGCUCCCUAAAUUUUAUAAUUAGUGGCUCAUUUAAAAUUACAUUUAUUUUAAGAGAUUAAGGUUUCAGUCUGCAACUGUCUUUUUAAAAUAAUGUAGUGGGGGCCCAGGAUUUAGCUCAGUGGUUUUGGCGCCUGCCUCGAAAGCGCAAGGUCCUGAGUUUGAUCCUUGGUACCAAAAAAAUAAAUAAAUAAAAUAAUGUAGUAAACCAGAAAUGUAAAUUUUUCUUGAAAUGGAAAAGUCGUUUUGAACAUACCAGAUCUCUGUUCCAUUAAUCUGGAUGCAUGAUCUCCAUCCAUCCCUAAAAGGGAUGUAAUAGAUUCUUGUUUUGUUUCUCAUUAUAUUCUGUUUGAAGCACUAGUGAAUAAAUGAUUUUUUAAAAAGAAAAAAAAAAUUGGGGGGGCCAGGGAUUUAGCUCAGUGGUUCUGCUGCCUGCCUUGCAAGUGCAAGGUCCCAAGUUCAAUCCCUGGUACCAAAAAAAAAAUUUUUUUUUGAGACAGGGUCUCAAACUCAGGCUUGGCUCGAAUUUAAGAUUCAGCCGUGCACCACCAAGCAUGGCUGAGAUUGUGAUUUUUACCUUCUUGUUGGUUUUAUGUUCUUUCUAUAGUUUACAUGCAUUACUCAUGUAAAUUCACCCAUUUUAAUCAUUUCAAAAAUGACUCAUGAUGUGAGGAAAAUAUGCCAUGAUACUUUUUGGGGGGGGGUACCGGGGAUCAAACUCUGGACCUUGCGCUUGCGAGGCAGGCACCAGAACCACUGAGUUAAAUCCCCGGCCCGCUAUGAUACAUUUUAUUUAUUUAUUUAUUUUUGGUACGGGGAGGGACUCGAACUCAGGUCCUUGAGCUUGCACAGCAGGUGGCGAAACCACUGAGCUAAAUCCCCGGCCCCUAUGAUACAUUUUAAAAGGCAGAAAAUAGAGGAAGAAGGCGCUGGUGGGCAGUGGUGGUGGCGGCGCGUGAUGGGGACUCGAAGUAGGCACCCUGGCCCUGGUAGCUGACGGGGGCAAGACAUGGGCACGGCUGGCGCUGGUGCUGCUGGCAGCCUACAGACCUUGGGUGCGUAGACCCCUUCCGCAUUCCUGCUGUGAGUGAAGAAACGGGACUUCAGCUUGAAACAGCUGCACCAUAUGACAGGUCCUGCAGCCCGCGCAUCGCUGGGAAAAGCCAAGUUUAUCACAUCCAUGUGUAGAUGGGCUGACAUUAGAGAGAGAAAGUGGCAGCUAGCUGGAAGAGAUUUUAUCCCUGACAUGCACAACAAGCACAAGGGUUUGGGUUCCAUCUUCAUACUGCAGAAGAAAAAGGGAAAUAUAUAUAUAUAGAUAUAGAUAUAGAUAUAGAUGUAUAUAUAGAUAUAUAUCUACAUCCUUCAAAGAGGUAGUUAUGGUUAAUGAGGUCAUGAGAGUGGACUUUAAUCCAGCAGGACUGGUGUUGUGGUUUGGAUUUGAAAUGUCCCUCUAGAGGUUCAUUGUGUUGAAGACUUGAUUGUUGCUGAGUUUUGGGGAAAAUGAUUGGAUCUUAAGAGCUCUACCUUCCAGAAGUGAAUUAAUGCACUGAUGAGAUCGUAAUUUGAUGCUGUUACUAGAAGGUGACAGAAGCUGGAGGUGGGGCAUGGUUGAAGGGAGUAGAACGCAGUGUCAUGAUCUUGGGAACUAUAUCUGAUCCCCUACCCCUUCCAC